ensembl:lncRNA
UUUUUUUUUAGCUUUAUUGAAGUACUGCAAAAUAUACAAAGAGAAAAUGGCAAUUAUCUUAAACAUACAGUUUGAUGAAUUUUUACAAACUACACACAUGUAACAGCCAGCAUCCAGAUCAAUGGUCCUGUGCACCAAGUGGCCAGCUUUCUUUAUGAGGGAGUGUAGGCACACUUGUAGUCCUAGCUACUCAGGAAUCUGAGGCAGAGGAUGCUUGAGCCCAGGAGCUGGAGGCUGCACUGAGCCAAGUUUAUGCCACUGCACUCCAGCCUGGGUGAAGUGAGGUCCUGAAUCAAAUAAAAACAAUAAUAAUUUACUACUCCAAAACCCCUCUGAGAGUUAUUCCUCACUGUAGCAUUUUAUAAGCUGUUGUCUUUCAUUUUCACUCCUACAUUUCCUACUUUGAUUUCUCUCCAGAGUGUAGAAGUCCUGCAGUAGAUAUAAUAGGGAGUAGUACAUAUAAUGACAACAUUAAACAUGAUUGAUAUGGUUUGUCUGUGUCCCCACCCAAAUCUCAUCUUGAAUUUAACUUCCACAAUUUCCAUGUGUUAUGAGAGGAGCCCAGUAGAAGGUAAAUGAAUCAUGGGGGCAGGUCUUUCCUGCACUGUUCUCGUGAUAAUGAAUGAGUCUCAUGAGAUCUGAUGGUUUAAAAACGGGAGUUUCCCUGGACAAGCUUUCUUUUUCCCUGCCACCAUCCACAUAAGAUGUGACUUGCUCCUCCUUGCCUUCUGCCAUGAUCGUGAGGCCUCCCCAGCCAUGUGGAACUGUAAGUCUAUUAAAUCUCUUUCCCAUAUAAAUUACCCAGUCUCAGGUAUGUCUUUAUCAGCAGUGUGAAAAUGAACUAAUACAGUAAACUGGUACCAGUAGAGUGGGGUACUGCUGAAGAGAUACCCAAAAAUGUGGAAUCAACUUUGGAACUGAGUAACAGGCAGAGGUUGGAACAGUUUGGAGGACUCAGAAGAAGAUAGGAAAAUGUGGGAAAGCUUGGAACUCCCUAGAUACUUGUUGAAUGCCUUUGACUAAAAUGCUGAUAAUGAUAUGGACAAUGAAAUCCAGGCUGAGGUGGUCUCAGAUGGAGAUGAGGAACUUGUUGGGAACUACAGCAAUGGUGACUCUUGUUAUGUUUUAGUCAAGAGGCUGGCAGUUUUUCACCCCUGCCCUAGAUAUCUGUGGAACUUUGAACCUGACAGAGAUGAUUUAGAGUAUCUGGCAGAAGAAAUUUCUAAGCAGCAAAGCAUUCAAGAGGUAACUUGGAUGCUGUUAAAGGCAUUCAGUUUCAUAAGGGAAGCAAAGCAUAAAAGUUCAGAAAAUUUGCAGCCUGGCAAUGUGAUAGAAAAGAAAAUCCCAUUUUCUUAGGAGAAAUUCAAUCUGGCUGCAGAAAUGUGCAUAAAUAACAAGGAGCCAAAUGUUAAUCCCCAAGACAAUGGGGAAAAUGUCUCCAGGGCAUGUCAAAGGUCUUCGCAGCAGCCCCUCCUAUCACAGGCCUGGAGACCUAGAAGGAAAAAAUGGUUUUGUGGGCCAGGCCCAGGGUCCCCAUGCUGUAUGCAGUCUGGGGACUUGGUGCCCUGUGUCCCAGCUGCUCCUUUUAGCCAUGACUAAAAGGGGCCAAUAUACAGCUUGGGCCAUGGCUUCAGAGGGUGCAAGCCCCAAGCCUUGGCAGCUUCCACAUGGUGUUGAGCCUACAGGUGCACAAAAGUCAAGAAUUGAGGUUUGAGAACCUCUGCCUAGAUUUCAGAGGAUGUAUGGAAAUGCCUGGAUAUCCAGGCAGAAGUUUGCUGCAGGGCCAGGGCUAUCAAGGCAAUGCAGAAAGGAAAUGUGGGGUCAGAUCCCCCACAUAGAGUCCCUACUGGGGCACUGCCUAGUGGAACUGUGAGAAGAGGGCCACCAUCCUCCAGAUCCCAGAAUAGUAGAUCCACCAACAGCUUGCACCACGUGCCUGGAAAAGCUACAGACACUCAACACCAGCCUGUGAAAGCAGCCAAGUGGGAGGCUGUGCCAUGCAGAGCCACAGGGGUGGAGCUGCCCAAGACAUGGGAACCCACGUCUUUCAUCAGCAUGACCCGGAUGCAAGACAUGGAGUCAAAGGACAUAAUUUUGGAGCUUUAAUAUUUUACUGCCCUGCUGGAUUUUGGGCUUGCAUGGGGCCUGUAGACCCUUUGUUUUGGCCAAUUUCUCCUACUUGGAAUGGUUGUAUUUACCCAAUGCCUGUAACCCCAUUGCAUCUAGGAACUAACUUGCUUUUGAUUUUACAGGCUCAUAGGCAGAAGGGACUUGCCUUGUUUCGGAUGACACUUUAAACUGGGGACUUCUGAGUUAAUGCUGAAAUGAGUUAAGACUUUGGGGGACUGUUGGGAAGGCAUGAUCGGUUUGAAAUGUGAGGACAUGAGAUUUGGGUGGGGCAGAAUGAUAUGGGUUGGCUGUGUCCCCACCCAAAUCUCAUCUUGAAUUAUAACUCUCACAAUUCCACACAGGGUAGAAGGAACCCAAUGGGAGGUGGCUGAAUUAUUGCAGCAGGUCUUUCCUGCACUGUUCUCAUGAUACUGAAUGAGUCUCACAAGAUCUGAUGGUUUUAAAAAUAAGAGUUUCCCUGCACAAGCUCUCUUUUUGCCUGCCACCAUCAACGUUCUGCCUCCCCAGAACCUCUUUCCUGUAUAAAUUAAACCUCUUUCCUGUAUAAAUUAAACCUCUUUCCUGUAUAAAUGACCCAGUUUCAGGUAUAUCUUUCUCAGCAUCAUGAAAACAAACUAUUACAGUGAUAAAGAAGAGCAGUGGAGAGAUUAUCAGCCCCACUCACCGAAGGUUGACAGGACUGCCUUAACAAUAUGUACAGGUUACUGUGCCCAAGCUUUAUUUCUGAAAAGACAAUCAAAUCUAACAAGAAAGUUUAUAAGAGUUAAAAAAAAAAAAAAAAAAAAAAACUCACCAUCCUAACAUUAAUUUUUAGUUUUAUAUGUCUCCUCCCAUUGGUAUAGGGAUUUUUACCUAGCUCUAAUUACAGUCAUGCAUCACUUAAUGAUGGGGCUAUGUUCUGAGAAAUGCGUCAUUAGGCAAUUUCAUCAUUGUGUGAACAUCGGCUCAAGCCUGUAAUCCCAGCCCUUUGGAAGGCCAAGAUGGGAGGACUGCUUGAGCCCAGGAGUUCGAGACCAGCCUGGGCAACAUAGGUUAGGAAGACCCUGUCUCUACCAAAAAUAAAACAAUUGCCAGGUAUGGUAGCAUGUGCCUGUAGUCCCAGCUACUCAGGAGGCUGAAGUGGGAGGAUUGCUUGAGCCCAGGAGCUUGAGGCUGCAGUGAGCUAUGAUCACACCACUGCACUCCAGCCUGGGUGACAGAGCAAGGCCCUGUCUCAAAAAGAAAAAAGAAAAAAAAAAGGACAAAAAAUGGUACACUCAUAUAGGGCAUUUACCAUGAAUAUAGCUUGUAGGACUGGAAGUUGCUGUGGGUGAGCCAGUGAGUGAGUGGUGAAUGAAUGUACUGUAGACUUUAUAAACACUGUAUAUUUAGGCUACACUAAACUCAUGUGUAAAAAUUUAUUUCGUCAAUAACAAAUUAACCUUACCUUACUAUAACUUUUUUACUUUAUAAACUUUAAAGUUGUUUUAAUGUUUUGACUCUUUUGUAAUCUUAGUUUAAAACAUAAACACAUUGUAUAGCUAUACAAAAUACUGUAUUUUCUUUUUUAUAUUCUUAUUCCAUAAACUUUUUUAUAUUUCUAAAAGGUUUUUUUCUUUUGAAACUUUUUAAAAAUUAAAAACAAAGACAUAAACGCACACAUUAGCCUAGAGCUUCACAGGGUCAGGAUCCUCAACACGUCACUAUGCGAUAGGAAUUUUUCAGCUCCAUUAUCAUCUUAUGGGACCACUGUAGUAUACAUAGUAAUGUUGUAUCACAUGACUGUAUAACUAGAGACAUCUGGUUCUUUUACUGCCAGCUGUGGACAAACAAGAAAUGUUGCUGUUAUGGCCGCAGGAAGGCAACCAAAUGUUUCUCUAAUACUUUGUACAACGUAGUCCUCAUGCCCACUAUAUCUAACGGGUCACAAAUAUUCAUUAACAAAAUAUAGUCAAACCUUUAGGAGUUCACAAUCUGGUGAGAGAGAUAGGCAUCAUAGUGCACAGCUGUUUUUCCAAAUGUCCAUUGCUAAUCUGUUCAUCUUAUUCUUCUGUCAAAGCAGUAAGGACAGAAGAGAAGAUGUGAGUCAUCCCAGAGUCACAGCCCUCUGAAAAUCCCUGAAAUCCCUUCUUUCCUGUCCCUCAGAUCACUGUAAGGACUUCAAGGUUCUCUCUAACCCUUACAGCUGUCUGAAAACAUUUUUUCCGAUAUGACAGCCUCCACCUUCUCUCUAAGGAAAGUAAAUCCUUUCUUAGUCAAGUUCUCCUUUUCCACACUCCGGUCUUUCCCUGGAAUAUCUCCCCUAUCCUUCCUCCCUUCUUCCUUUCCCAUUAUACUUCUCACUGACCCUCAGGAAAAUAGCUUAAAAAUUUCCCCUCUGGAAUGGGGCCCCGUCCACAGAGCACCUACCUUCCGUAUAAGUCAGAUGCUAAACUCAAUUACCUACGAAGGCCAGGCAGAACAGUGUUCUUCUGACUUUGUUUGCACAUUAAGUUCACGGAACAUUCUCUACUUUCACAAAGAAACAUGCUUGUUUUUUUCUUGAAACAUACAGGCCUUAGUUAAGCUUUCAUUUGCACAGUUUUGAUAGAUAGGGAUGCUUUUUUCCUCCCAAUUUGUUUUUUGUUUUUUGUUUUUUGUUUUUUCUCCCAAUUCCACUCUAACGUCAGUAAUUGGCAGAGGACCUUCCGAGUAACAGAGAACAUAUGCUCUCUAAGAGGGCUGCUCAGCAACCACGGUUUGCCAAGUGGAACAUGGGCCUAGUGUUGCUGUGUUGCUAGAUCUUCUGACCUUUCAGGAGACAAAAAUCCAGAUAUUUUUAUGAAAAAUCAUGUUUUCAAAAUGCUGACAGUUAAUUCAAAAGAAUUUAACAUGCUCCAAAGUCUAAAGCAAACAAGUUCACAGAGUGAAGGAGCAUUGCCAGUGUACAGCUUCUGGCGCUGUUAAGUUUUAAUGAGUAUUUUAUUAUCUUUGCUUAAUUUACAACAGACAAUUAUAUAAUUAUGCCUUUGACAGACAUCAAUAAUCUGUUUCUGUAUUCGUUCUCCAUAUUUAUAGAGUAUUGUGUUUUCUAGCUUAUUUCCACAACACAUUGUUAAUAGUGCCUUAGGCCAAACUACUCUUCUUUCCCAAUUAUUCUCUUUCUCCCCUACAAAGGGAGUUAAAACAAGGAGCUGUUAAAGCUCGGAGCCAAAUAAGAGAUUAAAUUACAUUAGUUUUAAAUGGUUUUCUGGAGUGGCUGGAAAUUUUUACCAGUAAUCUUACUGCAAUUCCUGGGUCAGUGAAGAACUGGGUAAAUAUGAUUACCGUGCACACACAAACACAUCGCUGUGAUCAAAACGCACAUCACAGUAUGUGAGUCACUACUCCCAACACUGCCAUGUCUCUGCCUUAGUAAGCCUGCCAGCCCCAUCCAGAGGAUUUUUCUCAUCUCUGAACUCCAAUCACUUCCACCUUCCCCCAUCAAAAUUUACCCUAUAUUUUAUUAUAAUUGCAUAUAAAUAUGCCUUCCUUGUAAGAGGAGGACCUGUGUCUCUCCAUUGUACAGCCUGGCACAGUGUCCGGCACACAGUAGGCAAAGCAAGAGUCAUUGCACGAACCAGUAUCAUCAUCCAAACAAUAGCUACCAUUUCCAGAGCACCUACCGUGAGCUGACUAGUUUACCUGCAUUAUCCUGGUGGCUUUCCCAGACCAGACCACCCAAAACAAAGCAGCCCCCCAGUCACCCUCUAAGCACGUAACCCUAUUUUAGUUCUCGGAAUAGGACUGAUUGCUUUCUAACAUAUUUUGGUCAUUUCGGUGUGCUUAUUGUCUGUCACCGGUUUCCCUUCACAAGAAGGAAAGCUCCAAGAGGACAGGCAUUUUAUCUACCUUGUACUUGGCUCAUAGCAAAUAAAUGAAUCUAAGCCGCCCACCUCCCUGGGCGACAGAGUUGACCUGCACACAGUAGGUCUCAAUGAGUAUGUUUUAAAUUUUAUAUUUAGAUUUCAAGAUAAUUGUGUUGAAUAUUUUAUGGUUCAUAACAAACAGAAAGGGGAGGGCAGAAUAAAAAUAAAUAAAAGUUUAGUUACAUUACCCUAGCACUGACGUUGGUACGGGAAUUUUUGCUGCAAUAAGAAAACCACUUCCUCUGACAUAAGGUCACCCACACUUCUGGGUCUUACCACAUCCUCUUAGACAGCUCAUCGUGGCUGGGCUGGCUGGGACAGUCAGGACUCCAGACGCUCACACUAAAAGAGGGAUGGGAGUCGAGGAGUCACUCCACUCCUCUGUAGGGAGCUGGCCGCGAGUGGGUGCGCAGGAGCGUGCGCGCGGAU